rnacentral:tRNA from 1 species
UGGUGUAUCGCCAAAUUUUGGUAAGGCAUUAGCUUUUGAUGCUAUCAUUUAAAGGUUCGAAUCCUUUUACACCAG